UAUGAUUUUUCAUGUUUUCCUCAAAUCUUGCAUGUUUUAACUUGCUUUGAGCUUUGUUUUAGAGUUUUGAGCAAAAGGAAGCAAAGUUGAGCACUUGGAGAUUUUGAUUGAGUUUUCCCCCAUCUCCAAGCUUGGAUCAUCAAUCCUCUAGUUCUUCAAGAGGUAAGCAUGGAUCCUCACCUCCCCUUAUGUUUAAAGUAAGUUUUAAGAAGUUUUAGUGAGUUUAUGGCAUGAUUGGGGGUAUAAGCAUGAGUUUGAGCAUAUGUUGCUCAUAUGCGUUUUGUUGUUGUUUUUGGGGCUUGAACUAGUUUUUAGGCCUCUAUAUGCAUGAGAUAUGUUAUAUGUUAGUUCAGAAGUGUUGGUCUGCCUGUUAUGGGUGUUUGAUAGGAUUUUGGAGGCUGAGAGCAUGAGUUGUGCUCGGAUUCUGCCUUUCUGGAGAAUCCAGGUUCGGCCGCCGAAGCAAGGUUCGGCCGCCGAACCCCUUGUGGAGGCAGUUUCGGCUGCCAAACCUUGCCCCCGAAAGCUAGGCUUUUGGGUGAGAAAGGGACUUUCGGCCGCCGAAAGAGGGCGUUCGGCCGCCGAAAGUGCAUGAGUUUCGUCUCUGGACGAGACUUUCGGCCGCCGAAGGUGCCGCCGAACAUGCAUGAGUUUCGUCUCUGGAGAGGGGUUUCGGCCGCCGAAAGAGCCGCCGAAGGUGCUCUGUCCAGCCUUCUUUUGCCCAUUUUUCCAUGCAUACCUAUGAUGUUUUAAGGGGGUUUAGGGAAGAUAUUAAGAGUUAUGUUUAAGUAAGUUUGGUCCUCAUUUGAGUCCACCUGUGUAGGUGCGGACCCGAGAGACCAAGGAGGCCCACAGAGUUAGAGUUACAGAGACUGCUCAGCAGUUGACAGAGGUGAGUGGAACAGAACUGUAUUUUCAAAGUUAAGAACUGUUUUAGCAUGAUUCAUGCAUCAUUAAUGCCAUGUUUAUGUAGGAUGCUUUGCAUUAGUAUUCACCAAGUUGAUGCAUUGCAUUAUUACUUGUAUAUGUGGAUUGGACCGAGGCGAUCUCAAUAGCCCAUAAGUCUGUCAUUAUUGUAUGACCUGUGUGAGCUCCUUUGGGGCCGGGCAUUUAACUUGGAUAAGUCCUGUGAGAGCCCUUAUAGGGUCGGGCACCAUGAGUAGUUAGUGAAAGACCUGUGUGAGCUCCUUUGGGGGCCGGGCACUGACAGAGGGAGUUUUGGGAUCAUGUCCAAUCCGAGAUGUGAAAUGUUUGUGCAGUGAUGCAUCAUAUGAUAGCAUGUUUUAAAUGUGAUUUUUAGAGAUUCCGCUCACUGGGCUUUAGCAGCUCAUCCCUCUCCCGAACCCCAUUUUUUCAGGGCCUCAGAGAAGAGAAAGAGAAAGAGAAAGCAAGGGUAAAAGGCAUAUGUAAUAGUAUAGAAUAGUGG
rnacentral:lncRNA from 1 species